CAGUCUGCAACUCGAGUGCAUGAAGCUGGAAUCGCUAGUAAUCGCGGAUCAGAAUGCCGCGGUGAAUACGUUCCCGGGUCUUGUACACACCGCCCGUCACACCAUGGGAGUCGGGAAUGCCCGAAGCCGGUGGCCCAAUCGAAAGAAGGGAGCCGUCGAAGGCAGGCCGGAUGACUGGGGUGAAGUCGUAACAAGGUAAC
rnacentral:rRNA from 1 species